AUGAGAACUUUUCUCUUUCCUCCCUUCAUCUCUUUUCUUCUACUCUCUCUCUAGGCUAAGGAAAGCUUGAGGAAAUUGGGGUUGGCAGCCUUGAGGAUUGCGGUUCAGGUGGAGGAGUUGAUCCGAACUGAGGAAGGGUUGAUGAGACUGAUGCAUUGAGUGAUUUCCUUGCUGGUCCGAGCUAAGAGGAACUUCCUAGCAGGGAAUUCCUGCUGCUGAACAACUGGUACAGCAUCUAAGUAAGCUAAGAGCUUGGGCUUAAUGGAUGCUAUAGAGCAGGGAGUUCAGUAGAGAGAGCUUGGAAUUGGGACUUGAGACUUGGGGCUUUGGGUUAGUUAAUGCUGAAAGAGAUUGGAGGAGUCUCCAAUUAAGGUUGAUUGAAGUUGCUGAAUUGGAAAUCAGCAAAGGUGCUGACUUGGAAAUCAGCAUAGGGAAUUUUGAAACUAAGGUAAAUGGCUAACUUCUCAUCUAGGAUUAUAGUAAUUG